rnacentral:snRNA from 1 species
GGGUAAUGGUUAUUGUCCCUUCGAUAAAAUUGGAACGAUACAGAGAAGAUUAGCAUGGCCCCCGCGCAAUGGUGACAACAUACAAAUCUAGAAAUGGUCAAAAAAAUU